UACGGAGGGUGCAAGCGUUGUCCGGAAUCACUGGGCGUAAAGGGCGCGUAGGCGGCUCAUGAAGGCUGUGGUGAAAGUCCGGGGCUCAACCUCGGAUCGGCCGUGGCGACUCGUGGGCUGGAGCACUGUAGAGGCGGGUGGAAUUCCGGGUGUAGCGGUGGAAUGCGUAGAGAUCCGGAAGAACACCAGUGGCGAAGGCGGCCCGCUGGGCAGUGGCUGACGCUGAUGCACGAAAGCUGGGGGAGCAAACAGG
rnacentral:rRNA from 1 species